rnacentral:rRNA from 1 species
UGGGGAAUAUUGCGCAAUGGGCGAAAGCCUGACGCAGCAACGCCGUGUGAGGGAUGAAGGCUUUCGGGUCGUAAACCUCUGUCAGAAGGGAAGAACGGGUGAGGGUCUAACAGGCCUUUAUUUUGACGGUACCUUCAGAGGAAGCACCGGCUAACUCCGUGCCAGCAGUCGCGGUAAUACGGAGGGUGCAAGCGUUAUUCGGAAUUACUGGGCGUAAAGCGCACGUAGGCGGCCUUGUAAGUCAGGGGUGAAAUCCCACGGCUCAACCGUGGAACUGCCCUUGAAACUGCGGGGCUUGAAUCCUGGAGAGGGUGGCGGAAGUCCUGGUGUAGGAGUGAAAUCCGUAGAUAUCAGGAGGAACACCGGUGGCGAAGGCGGCCACCUGGACAGGCAUUGACGCUGAGGGGCGAAAGUGUGGGGAGCAAACAGG